rnacentral:rRNA from 1 species
CUACGGAAGGCAGCAGUGGGGAAUCUUGCACAAUGGGCGAAAGCCUGAUGCAGCGACGCCGCGUGAGCGAUGAAGGCCUUCGGGUUGUAAAGCUCUGUGGGGAGGGACGAAUAAGGGCGGGCUAAUAUCUCGCUCGAUGACGGUACCUCCUUAGCAAGCACCGGCUAACUCUGUGCCAGCAGCCGCGGUAAGACAGAGGGUGCAAACGUUGUUCGGAAUCACUGGGCGUAAAGCGCGUGUAGGCGGCUAUGUAAGUCGGACGUGAAAUCCCACGGCUCAACUGUGGAAGUGCGCUCGAAACUGCGUAGCUUGAGUUUUGGAGAGGAAGGCGGAAUACUUGGUGUAGAGGUGAAAUUCGUAGAUAUCAGGUAGAACACCAGUGGCGAAGGCGGCCUUCUGGACAAUGACUGACGCUGAGACGCGAAAGCGUGGGGAGCAAACAGGAUUAGAAACCCCUGUAGUCCC